ensembl:lncRNA
UGGCUGACUAAAUACUUUUUUGCCCCACUGUAUAACAUACCAUAGUUUAAAAACAUCAGUGGCAGCAAUACUAUGGUAUAGUGCAAAUGUAGUAGAUAAAACAAGCCAUACAUGUUGGAAGUGUGAAACUAUGCUGUCUUAUAAGCACAGUGAUCAGAAUAAUGUAAAGAUAUUUACCUGCCUGACUACCACCCCCACUUACCUACAGACUGGAGCAGAGGAAUUACACUAGUAUUAAACACUAUACAGGCUAUUACAGUGGUGUUUACCUGUCAAUCAUCUAAGGGAAGUUGCCUAGGGGAGAAGUUACACGGAAAUGCCUUAUCACAUUUCAAUCACAUUCUGACAGCAAAAUACAGUGCAUUUGGAAAGCAUUCAGACUGUUUGACUCUUUACACAUUGUGUUACGUUACUGCUAUAAUGUUUCAGGUAAGUCCCAGAUGCAGGAACGUCGAACUAACAACAGUUUAUCCGACAGGUCAAGGGUAGGCAGGGGACAGUAAUCCGGACAGGUGGGUUAAUGGUACAGGACGGCAGGCAGACUCAGGGAAGGCAGAGUUCAGUAAUCCAGAUAGGAGGGUUAAAGGUAGAGGACGGCAAGCAGAAUCAGGGUAGGCAGAGUUCAGUGAUCCAGAUAGGUGGGUUAAAGGUACAGGACGGCAGGCAGGCUCAGGGUAGGCAGAGUUCAGUUAUCCAGAUAGGUGGGUUAAAGGUACAGGACGGCAGGCAGGCUCAGGGUAGGCAGAGUUCAGUUAUCCAGAUAGGUGGGUUAAAGGUAGAGGACGGCAGGCAGGCUCAGGGCAGGCAGAAAAAAACGGGAAAACAGGAACAAUCGAGAGACAGGAACAGAGGGAAAAACACUGGUAGGC